CUGCAACCAGUUAAGCAGAAAAUUCCUUUCCUGGUGGAAAUGUGGAGUGCAAAGCUGAAAUCAGCAGCUUCCUGGAGUAUAGCAGCCUGUUGCUUAGGUGGAUCGCCCAGAGGGACUUUGAAGGCAGUU